GGAUGUGAGGGUGAUCUGGCUGCGACAUCUGUCACCCCAUUGAUCGCCAGGGUUGAUUCAGCUGAUCUGGCUGGCUAGGCGGGUGUCCCCUUCCUCCCUCACCGCUCCAUGUGCGUCCCUCCCAAAGCUGUGUGCUCGGUGGAAGAGGACGACCAUCCCAGAUAGAAGGAGUGUACCGUUCUUCUGUCAAGGGUAUACAAUAGCUGUGCUCCCCUGCUAGAACCUCCAAACAAGCUCAAGAAAAUAGGGAUGUCCUAUUCAAUAAUAAUAAUUAUUAUAAUAAUAAU